AAGGCUGCUCCCCCAGGCCGCCCCCAGAUAGUGGAGUCUCUCCCAGCCCAGUCCGAAGAUUCGGAGCCAGCGCCCAGCCCCGAUCCUCACUCACUGCUCACUCCCGAGGUGCAGGGCAGAGGUGCCAGUGUUGCAAGCAAGUGACACAGUUACCCCCGAAUCAGUCACUGCGGAGUUUCGCUGUUUUUGCCCAGGCUGGAGUGCAAUGGCAUGAUCUCGGUUCACCGCAACCUCCACCUCCCGGGUUCAAGCGAUUCUCCUGCCUCAGCCUCCCGAAUAGCUGGGAUUACAGAUAAAUGUUUCAGAGUGCUGCCAACAACCGUCCUGCAACCACGAGUGGCAAGCCCAAGAUCAAAAACCAAAUAUUGAGGAUGGCAAAGAAACAAGAAAGAGACUGGGCUUUUGGGGACAUCACUGAGCCACUUUGCCAAACCUGGAGUUGCCUACCUUCAAAAGUUUUGUUAUAUGACAUAAUUAAUCUUUACUGCUUUGCCACUUCUGGUGGAAUAUUUUAUUACUAUCACCAGAAGCAUUUCUUGGCUUCAAUAACACACAUACUCAGUGUCACCUGCUUCAAGAGCACUGUACUCAUAAUUCUGACUAAUGUACAUUUCCACAUGUCUGACCCAAAGGAGGAAGAGGCAGAGCAAGACGGCUCAAUAGAAGCCUCCAUUAAUUGUCCUCCCCACUGGAAUACCAAAUUGAACAACUACCCACACAAAGAAGCACCUUCAUGA
rnacentral:antisense_RNA from 1 species